rnacentral:rRNA from 1 species
AUGACGAUAAUGUUAAUACAGGUUAGAAUGAGGCGACAGGGACAGGGUCAGGGACAGGGGCAAUACGGGGAUCCUAACAUCAAUUCCAUGGUCUCUUCCCAGUUGCAUCACUACCAGGCUCAGCAAAGGGUUCAACAACUCCCUGGUAAUAGUUACCCUGGAAGAGAUCCUGGGCAAGCUGCUGGGGAGAACCAGUAUACCACCCAGAAGGUGAGACAGAGCCAAUGGGACAGAGGUGGACCGAAUAUCCCGAAUCAGAUUUCACCAUAUGCAUAUAACGAGGGUCAAAGUGCUGAGGGUAAACGAUCCUUUUAUGAUGGACAACAAUCUGAUAUGAAGGUUGGUCUAGAAAAGCAACCAAGAAAGGAAUCGAGGGACCAGCCUCGUACCGAUAAGAUUGAAGCAAGGCACGAUGACUAUAAUCUUCCUCGUACAUUUGAAAGUCUAGAGAAGAGUUUUCGUGAAGACAUCGUGGUCCUAUCCAAGGAACUAAAUGAUGCAGAGGAUGCUGAAAAUACUAGGCACAGGGAGAGAUUGAACGAAAUAAAUGCACAGUACCAUGAGAAACUAUUGGCACUUCGAGCUCGCCAGACGGCCUAUCGAGAAGAAUUCCUGCGCAAAGAGUCUCUGGAACGCCAGCAGCAAUACCAAAAGGCCACCAUAAGCAAUUAUGCAAAUAAUGUGGUGCCUAGGGAACCACGUGGCUAUCCUCCAACAGCUGUAGCCACGCCUCCUGCUGCUGCUCCCUCUGGAGGUUCUUAUGGAGAGGCUCAUCGGGGUUAUGCAUCUGGUCAGUAUGAAACCUUUGGGGAGCGGCCAGAUUACCCAGAGUUCCAUGGUGGGGGCCAAGGCCGUGAUCAUGGUUUUGAGCAUCGUGGUCAUCAAUACCCUGGCGGUCGUGCUUAUAACUCUGGCGGGCGCAGAUUCUAA